AUGACGCACCUCAAGGUGAUCGUCGACCCCGAUGCCACACUCUGCUCCCGCGGGCCCAUUAUCGCAGCCACUGGUGCCGUGCUCUCGUAACCUGAAAUCCAUACACGAAAUAUCGAAUAAUCGGCCGAAUCUACUUGGAACCGAUGUUCCGAAGGUACAUCCCAACAAGGGGUGUCAUCCACCGACACCCAGAUCCAGGAAUAAGGUUUGAAGAAUGAGGUAACGAAUGGAGGGGGAGUGGAAAGGGAAGGAAGAGGGGAUGGUGAGAGAAGCGUUCGUUCUCGCCUUCGGGUAGCUGAAUAUCCUCACUCCGGAAAUUGGAGUUUGAAGUGUGAAGAAACAAGGGAGAAGCGUCUAGCGAGCGGCCUACAACAGAGGCGGCCUAAUAAUUCAUUACACAGGCGAAAGGGAAAAACAAUGGGAGCGGUAGCUCGUGCCUCGUGAGGGGUUUGCCACCCAUGGUGUAUGAUAAUGUCCGGGACAAGCGUACAUUAUUCAACGAAAGAGAAAGAAGAGGGGGGGGAGAAGAGAAUCGCGAUAGUUGAGACUCAUUUAAACGCCACGUUCCCUUGCUGAGGAGUCCAUGGAAGCGCGGUUAUGACCGCGCCAGGUGACGAGGAAAAAGACCCAGAGGAGAGCCAGAGGAGGUUUUCCACGACUACCAGGAUUAAGGAUAAUCCUAUUAGACUUGAAUUAAUCCUCUGGGAACUGCAUUUCUCCUCGACGAAAUAUUAGGUUAUGCCGUUAUUACUGUACACGGCCCUGGCCAAAAGUCUGUUUUUCCUUGCCGCUUUCUCUUGGUUCUUCGCGCUCCCAUUCGCCAAGGGGAAUUAUUUCGAUUAUAAUUGUCACUGAUUCCUCGCGAUCUUUAAUUGUUAUUGGAUAAUUGUCGGUCGAUGGACGCUCGAGAAAGAUAAACGGUUAAAGUAAAAGGAUUGUUCUGCUUCUGUUGCGUAAAACACCUUUGAGUUUUGUUCUUUACGUAGAAUUUGUAAGGGAAGUUGAUCUUUCUUUCUUUCUUUCUUUUUUUUUUUUUUUCAUAUAAUUUCUGAAUUAUACGUAAUAUGCAAAAGCAUAUUUUUCGAUUCUUCGUUCCAGUGCGAUUCGUUCGCGGUCUCUCUUGGUCGUGCAAUUUUUGAAAGAUUUCAAUUGAAAUCGAUCCUCGCUUUCGACGUUUGUUUCUUUCGCUGCUCUUACAUUUGACCUCGAACUCGAUAGUAAUUUCGCGAGAACGGAUCGACGAGGAUGAAUUUCAUGCCGAGAGUUGGGAGCAAUAAAGAAAAAGAUCCCAGAAAUCUCGCGUCCCGGAGGAUGAAAUGAUGGAACUUGGAAAGAAUUAUGAAGCGUCUAGGAGGAUGGUGCAAGAAGAAUCGACGACAGAUCCCGGGCGUCAAAGCCAGCGAAGAAGCGCACUUAUCUUUAAGUGAUUGAUGUCGACUGGAUCCGUUCGAGGAAUAAAAAGCGCCUGUCGGAUGAUUUUUUAACGGGCCAACGGGUGUAUAAAGGUGUCACGACAUUCCUCCUCGCGAGAAGAAGGAUAUAUCAAGUUCAUCGGCCCAUUUAAGGGAGGAAAAUGGACCGGUAUUCGGAAAAUCUAUUAAACUCUUACUCGAAGAUGAAAAAAAAAAAACUUUGAUUCAUCCAUCUCCAUAUCGAUGAUAAUAUGAUAAUAAUAACGAUGAAAAUUAAGGUUCCAGCAUUGUAUUAAUGUAAUUUUCAAUGGGUGAAAUGCGAAAAUUAUAGCGACAAAGUUUCAUGCGAUAUAUACAUAUAUAUAUAUAUAUUAGCGAGAUUUUCGUGCGGAUUAUCGUGAAAAUGGACGAAAUAUCUACUAAUUUACUCGUUCAAAAGUUUGCAAUCGCAUAACUGUACGAGCGUACGUACAUUCCUCUAUUGGUCUCGAAUACCUUCGUACAAUUUGUACCUGAAAAAUUCGCUUGCGCAAGCUUAUUAGGGGGGAUAGAGUACGGGAACGCGAUUUAAAUAUAAAGGGAAUGAAAAGUCGAGUCUAUUACCUCACGGUGAAAGGGACACAAUGAAGAGUAAUUGUAUCUGUAAGAAAUUGGAAAUCCUCUUUGGAAAGUUUCCGCUUGGUGAAAAUUGUAUUUUCUCAAAUCCGAAGAGAAGAGUGGAUCGAUCGAGGUAAAAAUUUACGAAUUUCUAUCGGAAAAAUCUUGCAUUCGUCCAAAGGGGGUGAACGAGAAUUUUGUUCCAUUCUAUUGGACCGCUAUUGAUUCGAAUUUAAAAAAAAAAAAAGAGAGAGAGAAAGAGAGAAAAAAGAGAACAAGAGAACGCGGGGAUUAAUUUUGCACAAAUGGAUUGACACGAGGAAAACUUCCAAUGAAGUUUUCAUUGCAUCGUCGACAUAUGUACAUCUGUCAUACCGAAUCGGAGAAAUAUGCAAUAAAAGCGCGGGCGACGAUUUAUCGCUGGGAUUUUGAUUAAAAAUAUUUUUUAAUCAUCCCUGACGUUCAUAUAAAAACA